GAUGAAGAACGUAGUAAAAUGCGAUAAGUAGUGUGAAUUGCAGAAUUCAGUGAAUCAUCGAAUCUUUGAACGCACAUUGCGCCCUUUGGUAUUCCUUAGGGCAUGCCUGUUCGAGCGUCAUUUGAAACCUCAAGCUCAGCUUGGUGUUGGGUGUCUGUCCCCGCCUCACCGCGGGGACUCGCCUCAAAAUCAUUGGCGGCCGGUACGUUGGCUUCGAGCGCAGCAGAAACGCGAACUCGAGGCCCGGCGGAUCGGCGACCAGAAGUCACUUCUUCACAGUUUGACCUCGGAUCAGGUAGGGAUACCCGCUGAACUUAAGCAUAUCAAUAAGCGGAGGA
rnacentral:misc_RNA from 1 species